UGCGUAGGCGGGCUAAUAAGUCAGUGGUGAAAUCUCUCGGCUCAACCGGGAAACUGCCAUUGAUACUGUUAGUCUUGAGUUCGGUUGAGGUAGGCGGAAUGUGUAAUGUAGCGGUGAAAUGCUUAGAUAUUACACAGAACACCAAUUGCGUAGGCAGCUUACUAGACCGACACUGACGCUGAGGCACGAAAGCGUCGGGAGCGAACAGGAUUAGAUACCCUGGUAGUCC
rnacentral:rRNA from 1 species